GUGCUAUUUAGUUAGUUGAUCUACCAUCUAACAUUUAUUAAGUAUUUAUGUGCUAGGAACUGUGGACAAGAGAAUACAAAAAGAGCCAUUGCACAGUGCCAAAGAAGCACAAAGCUAAAUUGCAUAGUGCCAAUUGAGCACAAGGUCAAAGAUACCAACCAAUCCUGAUGGGGUGGAUGAAAAUUUUGAGCCAUGACAAGAGGACAUGAACAUGUUUGGAGUUCGAGGUUGCGGCUGUUCAACAUGUGUUAAAGAGAAGAGAAAAAUGAGGUCGAAAGCUUUGGCUCUGUCCAUAGCCACAUGGCUAUAUCAAAGGGAAGAUUUCAAUCUAUUUCUUUGCGGACUUGAUGCCCAGAACUCUUCUGCCAUACUAUGUUCUUCUCCUGUUUAGGUGGUAGGUUUAUCUUCAAACUAGGCAAUUUCCACACACGACAAAAGGAGACUCAAAUGAAAUUACUGAAGUGAAAUCACAGAUCUUCUAUCUUCUAUGGUUGAGAUAAAAGAUAAAUGAAGAAGUGAAGAGUCAGAGUACGUGAUGUCCAAUUUGAAUAUUUUUGAUUACUUUAAUGGCCGAAACAUGGAGUGAUCAAUUAAUGGUCAAUUGGGUUACAUCUUUACUGUAAGGAAUUGCCUUAAUAAACAACUCAUGGCCAU
rnacentral:lncRNA from 1 species